UACGAAGGGGGCUAGCGUUGCUCGGAAUCACUGGGCGUAAAGGGUGCGUAGGCGGGUCUUUAAGUCAGGGGUGAAAUCCUGGAGCUCAACUCCAGAACUGCCUUGAUACUGGCGACCUUGAGUCCGGGAGAGGUGAGUGGAACUGCGAGUGUAGAGGUGAAAUUCGUAGAUAUUCGCAAGAACACCAGUGGCGAAGGCGGCUCACUGGCCCGGUACUGACGCUGAGGCACGAAAGCGUGGGGAGCAAACAGG
rnacentral:rRNA from 1 species